ACCCUCUGCAAAUUAAUUUAAUCGAAGAUCUGUCUCAUGAAUUAUCUAAAAGCUAUUCAUUGCGGGGGUUUUAAACUUGUUUUGAAGAGGUUCACGAAAUUCCGAAAAUAUUAAGUUAAACUUUUCAGUUUCCCCCACUUUCAUUUCAUUUUCAGCUUUUCCUCUACCCGCUCUCUUAACGUUUUCAGCUUCUUGUUUUUCCCUCUUCUUCUUUCCUUUUUACCUAAUGCGUUCAUCAAACCUAAACAUGAGGAGUUUAUCUCGUAGAGGAGAUUGGCAUUGAACUGGAGGAAGGAGUCGCAGACCUGUUAUGAGGUGAUUCUGCUCUACGCCGAAGAUGCCGAUAGUUUCCUCGAUGCUGGGAGGGGAGAAGCCUUCGUGGAUAAGGGAGGUUAUGAGGGGCGCCAACUGGUACCAGAGGCGUAGGCGGUUGGCGAGGAUUUCUAUGCGGCCGAUGAUGUCGAGGUUUUCGUAUUGCGAUGGAAGGGGUUCCGGCGGAGGGCGGAAGAGUUGGUAGACUUGCUAUUGCAGCGGCGGAGGCGACGGUUGAUGCUUCUUGAAGGAAGAAGGGAUUUAGACGACUUACAAGAUGACUUUGGAAAUAAGGGUGAGUAUGGCCGCGAAGAGGUUGAAAGGCUGGAAUAAUUUCUCCCAAUAAACUAAGGAUGAAGUUGUCAGGGCCUCACCAUAGUUCUGCUAAGCUUGGCCAAAAGCAACCUGUGUAUAGGAAAUCCAUUGACACAUUCAGCUAGAGAACUUCUCAGUCUAGAGGUGUGACAAGGUUGGUUACUUCACUUCACCUCAUCCCUUUAUCUCUCUAAUAAUUUCUUUUGUCACCAUGGAAAAAAUCUGAACUUUCAUGUAAACUCACGAAACUAUUACUGCUAGGUUGAAUCUAGUUGCAUCUUUGUAAUGAGUUGAUUUGGAUUUUACAACAAAUUGCCUUUCUUGAGUGUGUACCUUUCAAUGAUAGUUGUAAAUUCAAGUGAUAUGUAAGCAUUAUAAUUAGUUCUUUAUCUCUAUGAUUUCUUUCCAGUUUUCCAUGUUCUAUUAAAAUUAUCCUAACAUGGUUUAUAUUAUAUUGUAAUUUGAUUAAUUUUUCUCUAUAUGAUGAAGAAAUCAUAGGCUAUGGAUGAACUCCAACAAAGCAUGUUUUAAUCAUAGUUACACUAACAUAUAAUUCUUCAUUUUCUAUCCCAUUAUGUUCUUGGUGUUUGGCCUUUGGUCCUUGAAAGAUGCAAUGUUUGAAUAAGGGUGAUUAUUGUUUAUCCAUCACAUCAGCUUGGUCACCGUUUUCUAUUGACAAUAAGCUUUAAUCUUGGACUUAUGUUUAAUGAUUUUAUUUGAUGGACAGGGGUGUUGAAGAAUUGGUUGAGGUUGAAGCUAAAUUGAUUAAUAUUUUUACCUUUUUUUUUCUUUUGUUUCUUAGUUAUGUUGAUAUUUUAUUGUCUUCUUGAUGACACCUCUGUACGCUAUUAGGAUAAAGGUUGUAAGGCUAACGAUGGAGUUGCAAAAAAUAUCAACAAGGUAAGAUAAUAUCUGUUUUAUUGGAUUUAUACAUAAAUUGAGACAUUGUUUGAUUCAUCCUUGAUUCUUAUUUCUAAGAUUAUUUUUGUUUACACAGUUGGUAUGUUCUGCUUCUAAAUCAGUUAUAGCAUCUUGCUAAAAUCGUUAUUUAUUGCUGAUUAGUUAUGGUUUUCUGAAUGUUUGUGUGCUUGAUGCCAUAUAUCGUAUAAAGAGUAUUAGUUGCUGUAGUGAAAAAGAAACCGGUGCAUUCCAGCUGUUUCAAGAAUAAUUUCUUAUAUGACUAUUUGCAGGUUGAUUUUUCUUAUACACUUAGAUUGCAGUAACUUCAUUACUUCUUUUCAACUCUGGUCUUAAAAGAGGAAGUUCUUCUUCCAGUACUAAUACUUCAUUCUUAGGAAUUGUGCUUCAUAUAUAUAUAUAUAUAUAUAUAUAUAUAUAUAUAUAUAUACACACACACCUCUAAUAAUAGAUAUUAAAUAUUAUAUUACUUCAUUAUUGAUUACUGAUGGCAAAUCAAAAGUUGCAGGGGAAGUAAACUUGUGCUCUGAAUAUUAUAGUGUUGUUUGUAAGUAAUCCUGAUGCCUAUGUACUCCAAGAUGUUUGUCUCACAUUUUUGGAGAGGAGUGUUCCAUGAACGAGGAUUUAUAGUGUAUGAAGCAUUGCAGGUCCAACUCCCACAAGCAGCUACACUUCUCGAAAUCCUUGAUGAUGCCAUCAAACGCCGUCGUUGGCAAUCCUCUCUUGAGGCAAAGACAAUUUCAUUUUAGAUGCUGUCCAAUUCUAAAUUUAGACACAAAAUAAGUCAUUAAUAAAAGAGGUUAAAACUCCAAAAAAACCUCCGCAAUAUAAAUCGAAUAGCAGGGGUCUCGCAAAU